rnacentral:sRNA from 1 species
CUAAAAAACCAAAAAAACCAAAAAAUGUACGCAAUG